AUUGAACGCUGGCGGCAGGCUUAACACAUGCAAGUCGAACGAGUGGCGGACGGGUGAGUAAUGCCUGGGAAUCUAGCUUAUGGAGGGGGAUAACUACGGGAAACGGUAGCUAAUACCGCGUACCAUAGGAUGAGCCCAAGUGGGAUUAGGUAGUUGGUGAGGUAAAGGCUCACCAAGCCGACGAUCCCUAGCUGGUCUGAGAGGAUGACCAGCCACACUGGGACUGAGACACGGUCCAGACUCCGACGGGAGGCAGCAGUGGGGAAUAUUGCGAAAUGGGGGCAAGCCUGACGCAGCCAUGCCGCGUGAAUGAAGAAGGCCUUCGGGUUGUAAAGGUCUUUCGGUAGCGAGGCGUUAACUACAGAAGAAGCACCGGCUAACUCCGUGCCAGCAGCCGCGGUAAUAC
rnacentral:rRNA from 1 species